GAAGAAAAUGAAUCUGUAACCCGGAAGUUAAACUUCACAACAACAAAAUUGCCGGGUAAUCUUCUCCGUGAAACAAUCUCAAGCAGCCAAUGGACUUUUUAUUUAAUUUUAGUAAAUAGUGCGUUUGUCUUGAGACUUGUGUAGAACCACAGUGUGUCUCAACGUGGGUUAAAACAUGGACGAAUAUGAUGAACUGUUCGAGAUCCAGGAUGAGUUCGAGGACCAGUUCGAAGACGAGCUGGAGGUUCUGGCUCAGAUGGAGGCUUGUGUGUCAGAUGGACUUUGAGCUGGAGUCUCUGAUGGAGAGGAAGGAGGAGGAGCGGGAGGAGCUGAUGGACUGGUGGAAGAUGAUGUCAGAGACACUGAACUUCUGAAGCUCUCGUCUGCUUCGCGAUUGGACCGUUCACACGUCGAGGUAAUGUAUUCAACGUCCUGUAUCCACUUUGAGAAGAAGAAAAUAAAGAAUAUAUUGUCUCUUA